rnacentral:rRNA from 1 species
CCUACGGGAGGCAGCAGUGGGGAAUCUUAGACAAUGGGGGAAACCCUGAUCUAGCCAUGCCGCGUGAGUGAUGAAGGCCCUAGGGUCGUAAAGCUCUUUCGCCAGGGAAGAUAAUGACGGUACCUGGUAAAGAAGUCCCGGCUAACUCCGUGCCAGCAGCCGCGGUAAUACGGAGGGGGACUAGCGUUGUUCGGAAUUACUGGGCGUAAAGCGCGCGAAGGCGGACUAUUAAGUCAGGGGUGAAAUCCCAGGGCUCAACCCCGGAACUGCCUUUGAUACUGUUGGUCUUGAGUCAUAGUGGGGUUGCCGGAACACGUGGUGUAGCGGUGAAAUGCAUAGAUAUCACAUAGAACACCGAUCGCGAAGGCAGGUGGCCAACUAUGUACUGACGCUGAUGGACGAAAGCGUGGGGAGCGAACGGGAUUAGAUACCCCGGUAGUCCACGCCGUAAACGAUGGAUACUAGCUGUGGGGACUUCGGUCUCCGUGGCCAAGCGAAAGUGAUAAGUAUCCCACCUGGGGAGUACGUUCGCAAGAAUGAAACUCAAAGGAAUUGACGG